rnacentral:lncRNA from 1 species
UAUCACAUGCCCUAGAUCCAGCCAGCUCUGAAAAUCCCCACCUAUGAGCACAUGAGACUUUAGGGGAAUACCUGGAUACAAGGCAUAAUGUUGUCUUUGGGUAUAUUUCUUGGUCUUGUGCCAGUGUACUUUCCUAACAUGCUUGGGUUUUCCUUUGUUAGGUAUUUUAGGUGCCAUUUGAGUGGUCCACACCCACCCAUACUUAAAUAUCUUUUAGGAAGAACAACAGUAGCGUUGAAUGGGAGUCAAGUAUGGAUGGCAUGGGCAGCCACAGAGAGGAGGUCUGCUGCUGAAUGUGGGGAGAUCCUGUGUGGGCAGUCACGCACACAGGGGGAGAGCCAUCAGUGUCUCCUGAGAUCCGCACCCUUUGGACCUCAGGACCCUGGGAAACCAAGCAAGCAGCUCCCCUCCCUGGUAAGCAGCUGCAGUGUGGCAGAUUGCAGGCUCUCCAGGGCGAGAACCACCAGUGUCUCCUGAGAUCCACGUUGGAACUUCGGACCCUGGGAAACCAAGCAAGCAGCCUGCCUCCCUACUAAGCAAUAGUGAACCUACUGGUGCACGGCCUAGAGUCAAACAGCCUGCUUUCCCUACCCCCCUUCCGCUCUCCCCCCUGGUUAGCAAAUGGGAACCAGAAAUCUGAGCAUCUCUUGGGAGGUUGAUCAUAGCAAAUAAG